UCCCCAAAAUCAUCAUCGCAACCGUUUGGACGGCUGCGCUGAUUAUGCUCCCCUCGCGCACGCCGCCGCAGUCGUCCGCAGUCCGUCUUAACCGUCGUCACCACUCACAAUCUCGAACCGCCUCACCCUGACACAUCGCCGCGCUGCCCGGUGGCGCGCGAGCCUGCCUGCGACAGCCUCCCUGCCGUCUCAUGCAUCCGCAGAUGCUGGUGACGCCGUCGGGUUAGACGGGUUCUUCCGGUCCUUCCCGGCGCUAGAAGUACCAUACGCAAAGCUCGGAUUGAAAACCGAAUUCGACGAUCUUGAGCUUGGGGUAGUUGAGCUCGAUCUUACUCUCCUUCGGGGUCGGAUCGAGUCGGGAUGGGACGAAUCAGAUCUAGGAGGUUCCGGCCGCUCCACCUUGCGCGCUGAAUUUGUGCUCGCUCUGCACCGGCAGCCAGCCUGCCCGUGCUCCACGGGAUCAAGACACGGAACCUACUUUAUUAUUGAUCUCAGACCACAAGCAUUAGUUUUUUUUUUUGGAAAAGAGUGGAUUGCUUGAAGCAAUUAAAUGAGUGCUACUGCUGGAUAAACGAAAGUUGGAAUUUUAUUCCCCUUAUGCACUUCACAUCAUGGGUGCAUGUAGGUAUUUUUUUUCCAUCUAAAAUCCCCUUUGAGUGAAUAUGUAUGUGAACAUGUUAGUCACCCCUGGUCUACGGUCUAUUAAUUCACUAAUAUCUAUUCUUCGUCCAGUUUGUAUUGUAAUAUGAAAUAAGGCAGCCAGGGCCAUCCUAGAAUAUCUAUUUUGGAAAACUGUCGCAGUUUUAAUUUUGUAUAGUGUAGUCUGAUAAGAAGCUAUUAUCCUAGCGCCGUGAUUUUCACAUGCAGAUUCUUGUAUGGUGUUAAAUAUGAUAACUUGUUUUUACUUACACUCUUACAUAUAUCAUGCCAAAUAGUUUUACAUGUCUUGUGACACUUAUACCAGUUUUCUUUUUUCUAAAAAAAAUUGAACACUCCUUUGAGCUGCUCUUUUUCCUACAAAUUCAUAACAUUUCAUGGUGUCUCUUGAUGUUGAGAGAUGCUACAGAACUUGCUUCAGUCAGCAUUUCGGAAUGUUAAAUUGAAUGAGAAUAUCACUUACAAUCCUUUGCUUGAUGGUUAUUAUCAGUUCUUUUGUCCAAUGAUGAAUGUUGGCAGCUUUAUUUGCUUCAUAUGAUCUUAUUCUGAUCCAACACUGCCAAUAAUUGAGUGGUGUACAUAACUUCAUUCUAUGGGAGGCCAAAGUCUGCACUAAUGUUUGCUGUUAUCCUUACGAUCUGUCUUCAAAGGUCUUGAAAAGGGCAUAGCAAACACUGAGGGUGUGAAGAAUGGGCUGCUGCACCAAAGCGUUUAGCACAUAUAGUUUAUGCUUGUGAAUAAUAUCUCACAACGACUUAGUUACACAAAUCACUAAUAGUUAGUAGGUGAUGGAAACAUGGUACAAAAGCCCCGUGCAUAAACCUGAACAUUCAAGCUUGCCAGCAUUAACCUUGAAUCAAUUGGAGACCACCUAAAAUUAUGAUUAAUUAUGCAAUAUCUGCAAGAACCAAUUAUUGCACAUCUGGAACCUAAAAUUGUCACUGUCUAUUUAUAACUUCUCAUCUUUGAAUUAUCACCUAGGUUUUUUAGUAUGAGAUGAAUGCUUCCACUGGUUCUUUUAAGCAACAACGAUGUUGGUUGAGUUCUGGAGCAGACGCAGGGUUGGUGCCAGUGUUGCAGGGGAAGAUCUCAAUUGUGAAGAGGAUGCAGGUCAGGGAGGUACGUUUAUUCUUGAGGGUUGGGAUGCGGUCAGUGCUGAGAGGGAUAGAUGCCUUGCUGCUGGAGAAACAAGAUCUCUGGCUGACAUAGUAACUUAUAACCACAAGCAAGGCUUCAAGAAAUGGAUCAACAAGCGCAUUUAAGAGUGUUACAAGGAUGAGGAGCACAUCAGAUAUGGCAGCUCUGGAAGGAAGAUCAAGUACCAGAACAGGGAUGGAAGACUUGAGGGCUUCCUAAGAAAUGUUGGUAGGGGGCUAAAUCUCGAUUCUUGUACUGUCACAUCUCCAGCUGAUGCACAUCAACUUCAUCCCUGAUAUAAAGUUAUAAAAGAAUGGCUUGCCUAACAUCACUAGAAUCUUGCACAAUGUGGAGUCAAAAUGUUUUUUCAGAAACAUCAGUUCAGCGGUCCUGAUUGUACACUCCUUGGAGAACCAACCAGUAGAUUCAUUAGUUGUUUCUUUGCCCUAGGAUUUUUCAAAUAUGUAGUGUGACUGCGUGUUCUCCUGGAUCAUUUAGUAGAAUUUACAUUGUAAAAAAAGAACAGAUUGUUUAUUAUUUUCUAUGGUUGCAGCCAAA